CUUGGGAAAUGAUGCGAACAUUCAAAUCUUGUUGUCGUAGGCUUAGUGAUUUGCCUGUGCUGAAUACUUUUGCACGUCAGUCUGAUUCUGAG